rnacentral:tRNA from 1 species
GCCGGGGUGGCGGAACUGGCAGACGCACAGGACUUAAAAUCCUGUGAGCCGCAAGGCUCGUGAGGGUCCGACUCCCUCCCCCGGCA